GGCAACCCGCUUGAGUCCUGUUCCACGCUGUGGAAACUUUGUUUUUUUUUCUUUGCAAUAAAUCUUGCCACUGGCUCACGGUUUGGGUGAGGCACUGCAUUUAUGAGCUAUGACACUCACUGGAAAGGUCUGCAGGUUCACUCCUGAAGUCAGUGAGACCACAAACCCACCGGGAGGAACGAACAAUCUUGGACGCGCCGCCUUUAAGAGCUGUAAGACUCACUGCGAAGGUCUGCGGCUUCACUUCUGAAGUCAGGAAGACCACGAACCCACCAGAAGGAAGAAACUCUGGACACAUCUUAACAUCUGAAGGAACAAACUCUGGACACACCGUCUUUAAGAAUUGUAACACUUGCUGUGAGAGUCUGCAGCUUCAUUCUUGAAGUCAGGGAGACCAAGAACCCACCAGAAGGAACCAGUUCCGGACGCACUUCCAGCCAGAUGAGUGGCUCUGCAGACUUCCAAAGGAGCCGCUUUCUGUGCAAGUUGGACCAAGUCUGUUUCUCCUGUCCAUGAGGAUAAGGGUCCUGGAUAUCCUAGGUCGCCUGGUGGAGGGGCCCUCGGGAAUCCAACGAUCACCACUGCAAGUCAGCCUCAGCACCAGCACUCAGAUGCAGGGGUGGCUGGCCUCAGGCUUCCUGGGCUGGGCCAAAUGCAAAGAAACCCAGGGGUCCUCUGCAUCCUGAGCCUGGCGCCAACCUGCAGUAGCAACAUGAGUGAGGCCCAGGAGCCUGCCAGGACUGGGUUUACGCCCCAGAGCCGCCACUCACUACUCAUCAGCUGGACAAAGAGCUUCUCUGAGUUUCAGUUUCCAGAUCUGCAAAAUAGGUGUAACAAUCCCUGUGUCUGAGCAUCUGCAGGGAGAUCAAAUUCUCGUCUCUGGAACAUGACAGCUUCCAAAUCUGAGCCAUCCUGUCACUUCUCUUGGGUCAAUUGGGGUUUCCACGAUGUCACCCCAUCAGACUGUCACUAACAUGGCCUGAGAGCCCUGGGCUCGGGGACUGCCAGCAUGGUAGGUUUCCCUCCCCGUACUCCUGCCGUUACUUCCCUGAUGAGACCAUCCCCCAGAGAAGGGAAAGGAGGGCAGUUUCGUUCAUUUAGUGCAGAGCCUGGGAGGUGGGAGGAGCCUGGGCUAGCUUCAUUUUUUUGAGGUUCUUGGUAUGCUACAGAUGAGAAGGUUGCAGUGAUUGUGGUAUAAUUUCAGUGUUCUCACAACAAAUUAGAACACAGCAUACUUGUGGUGUUGACAGGACAACUGCAGAACUCAGUACAUUUCCUGGGGAGUUCUGAGUGGUGCAGUCUUAGGGCAGGAUACAAGCUUUGGGUCUCAGGAUGGCUGUCCACUUCUGCUGGAUCUGGGGUGCACCCUUACAGUCUGAAUUUCUAGAAAAAGGCAUAAUCAAACCCCCUGCAGAACUUUCACGGGAUCCCAUUCAAAUAAAACAGGGUGGAGGGACACGUUGAGAUGUUUGGAAAUAUCUGAAUAAGGGUGGGAUAUGGGGUUAUUUUAGGGAAUUCAUUGUUCAUAGGGAAUUCACUGUUCAUUGUCCCAGCCGUGAUAGCAUGGAAGAACAGCCCAAAGGGUCAUAAGAUAGUUCAGGAAAGAGCUUUACAAGUCAAAGUGACAGAGCAGCAGGUCCCCAACACUUUUGACACCAGGGACCAGGUUUAGUGGAAGACAAUUUCUCCAUGGACUGGAAUCAGGCUGGGGGUGGUUUUGAGAUGAUUCAAGCACAUUACAUUUAUUGUGCACUUUAAUUCUAUUAUUAUUAACUUGUAAUAUAUAAUGAAAUAUUAUACAACUCACCAUAAUGUAGAUCAGUGGGAGCCCUGAGCUUGUUUUCCUGCAACUAGACAGUCCCAUCUGGAGGUGAUGGAAGACAGUGACAGAUCAUCAGGCAUUAGAUUCUCAUAAGGAGCACGGAACCUAGAUCCCUCGCACACACAGUUCACGGUACGGCUCACGCUCCUAUGAGAAUUCAGUGCUGCUGCUGAUGUGACAGGAGGUGGAGCUUAGGUGGUAACGUGAGCAAUGGGGAGCAGCUGUAAAUACAGAUGAGGCUUCACUCGCUCACCAGCCUGCUCCGUGAGGUUGGGGACCCGUCAGAUACAGCAUUUAUGACCACAUGAUAACCACAGCUGAAUCCAGGUGGUGGGAUACACAGCUGCUUCAUUGUACCAAUCUCAACUUUUUCAUGUAUUUGAAAUUUUUCAUUAGAAGAGAGUAAAUUUUUUGG
rnacentral:lncRNA from 1 species